rnacentral:misc_RNA from 1 species
CCCAACUAUCCCUAUUAAUCAUUACGGCGGUCCUAGAAACCAACAAAAUAGUACCACGCGUCCUAUUUCAUUAUUCCAUGCUAAUGUAUUCGAGCAAACGCCUGCUUUGAACACUCUAAUUUUUUCAAGGUAAUGGUCCUGGUUCCCCGACACACCCAGCGAAGGGCAUGCCGUCUCACCAGAAGGAUAGGCCCGGCGUCGGAACAGUGCUCACCCGGAAGGUGGACCGCCCGGCCAGACCCAAAAUUCAACUACGAGCUUUUUAACUGCAACAACUUUAAUAUACGCUAUUGGAGCUGGAAUUACCGCGGCUGCUGGCACCAGACUUGCCCUCCAA